UCUCCCACCAAAGGAUAGGUCGUUAUGUCUCGACCGUUUCCUCCCCCCUCCAUCAUUGGCUCCUUCGUCUUCAUCCCUCUCUUCGAGCCUCUUCUCGAUUUUGUUUUGUUUCCGUCGGAGUCGGAAAGACUUGAUCGGAUUAUAUGGCACAUGGAGGAUCGAGGAGUAGGGAGAGGAGUUGGGCUGCGCUCUGCAGCUUGUCUUGCUCGUGCCUACAGCUCUACUGGGUUCGUAUCGUCGUCCGCAAAUGGUUCAACAUCUCUGACUCCGAAUCAGACUAUAGUGCCGAUACUGACGCCGACGACGGUGAUAGCGACACCGAUUCCGACAACACCCAAGAAUUUGAUCCACGGGGAAGGGAACCGAGGUCUGGGGUUACGAAAGAUGAAGAUGAUGGUGAUGGUAAUGAUGCUAUUCCGAGGUUGAGAAGAAGGAAUUCGGAAACGUUCAGGGCUCAGUAUAUGGACACAAAAGCAAUCAGAAUCUGUGUGGGGACAUGGAAUGUUGGAGGAAGAGUUCCACCCGCUGACUUUGAUAUUGAUGGUUGGGUAGACACCAUUGAACCUGCAGAUGUAUAUGUUCUCGGUCUUCAAGAAAUAGUUCCACUAAAUGCUGGGAACAUUUUUGGUAUCGAGGAUGACCGUCCAGCUUCUAGAUGGGAGAACAUUAUCCGUGAUGCCCUAAACCGAAUUCGACCUAGAAAGCAAAAGAUCGUAAGUUACAGUGACCCCCCUUCUCCAUCAAAGUUUAAGCCAUCAGGGGAGGUCCCUGAUAUAGUAGAAGAAGAUAUGUUAAUGGAAACCAGCAGUGAUACUGCCGACGAGAAUCGUCAGUUGUAUGAGGAAUCCAACUUUGACGAAAGCAAAGACAGAACUAUUAGAAGUGUAGAUGCGCUUAUCAAUGGAAAUCUUCAGGACUCUACUUACUCCGAGAGAUCUUGCUUGCCGGUACAAGAAUACUUGCAGAGGCAGUUUUCAUCGCCAAAGACACUGGAACGGUUGCUUUCCAUGCAGAUCGAUAACCGUUCAAAGCGUGCAGAAAGAUUAAGCAGAUGGUUUAGUGUCUCGGAAAGAGAUGGUUUGGCCUGGCCAGAGCCUCCACUACGAUUGUUAAAUCAACACGUUUUGGAAAGACACGGUUCCUUAAAAUCAUUGAAUUCAUUUAGCGGGUAUAAUUCAUUCAAAACAACCGCAAACCAUAUUGCAACACAGAAGACACCUCUACUUGAAGACAUCGAUCUCGAGCCUCUCAUGAACCCGAGAAGGCCAUCAUAUGUACGGAUUGUGAGCAAACAGAUGGUAGGAUUAUUUCUCACCAUCUGGGUACGUAGGAGCCUGCGCAAGCACAUCCGGAAUCUCAGUGUCUCCACUGUUGGCGUUGGCGUUAUGGGCUACAUCGGUAACAAGGGAUCAGUGUCAGUGAGUAUGUCAAUCUAUCAGACACUAUUUUGUUUCAUGUGCACACAUCUGGCAUCGGGUGAAAAGGACGGAGAUUGGGUGAAAAGAAACACUGAUGUACGUGAAAUUCGCAAAAGGACUCAGUUUCAUCAGCGUUCCCUUUCUGCAUUUGGGCUCCCGAGAAGCAUUCAUGAUCACGAAAAAAUUAUCUGGCUAGGAGAUCUGAAUUAUCGGAUUAACUUGUCAUAUGAGAAGACACGUGAGCUUAUUGCCAGAAAGGAGUGGCAGAAGUUGGUUGAGAAGGACCAGCUGGUACGAGAAAUGAGGAAGGGACGUGCUUUCGAGGGAUGGUCGGAAGGAACAUUAGAUUUCCCACCAACAUACAAGUAUGAACUCGACUCAGAAGAAUACAGCAGAGAGGAUUCAAGAUCUGGCAAGCGUACACCCGCUUGGUGUGAUCGUAUACUUUCGCACGGGAAAGGAAUGAAGCUUGCGAGUUACAAAAGAAGUGAGCUAAAACUAUCGGAUCACAGGCCGGUGACAGCAACGUACGUGGCAGAGGUCGAGGUGCUUUCUCCUCGGAAACUUCAGCGUGCAUUGACACUAACCGAUGCUGAGAUCCAUCGUCAUGGCCAUCAAUAGCUUUCUCAUAAAUUAAGAAACCCUUCAAUGUUCCUGAUUCUCGCCCACGUCUUAGAUCCAAGAGAAGAUGUUGAAACCAUCUCCUCCACGCACACUGGGACAUGAUCACACGGAAUCCGACCACCGGCAAGAAAGAGGAUGAGAUCGGAUGGGGAUGCGUCGAGGGAGACGUGGCGAAGCUAUAUGUUCGAGGGUGAAGGAGGGGUAAUUCCACGAUUUCGUCAUUAAGGCCUCAGUCGAACCUUCUAGCCUUUGCUUUGUGCGCAUCCUGCAAGUACCCGAGCCUGAGCCUCCAACAACCACGAGGACGAGGCCGAGACCUCCUAACCCCGAAACUGGAGGAGGCCGAGGCCGAGGCCAAUGGCUUGAAAAUCUCAGGUGCCCACUCCUAUUAUCCAUAUGAAGAAAAAAGAAAACAUAUACCAUUAUCAUCGAUCGCAAAAGCAAAGUCUCGUUAAUACACAUUGAAAUGGUUCAUCUUAUUGGCUUGUGAU